AGUGAACGCUGGCGGUAGGCCUAACACGUGCAAGUCGAACGGCAGCACAAUAAGAGCUUGCUCUUACGGGUGGCGAGUGGCGGACGGGUGAGGAAUACAUCGGAAUCUACUUUUUCGUGGGGGAUAACGUAGGGAAACUUACGCUAAUACCGCAUACGACCUACGGGUGAAAGCAGGGGAUCUUCGGACCUUGCGCGAUUGAAUGAGCCGAUGUCGGAUUAGCUAGUUGGCGGGGUAAAGGCCCACCAAGGCGACGAUCCGUAGCUGGUCUGAGAGGAUGAUCAGCCACACUGGAACUGAGACACGGUCCAGACUCCUACGGGAGGCAGCAGUGGGGAAUAUUGGACAAUGGGCGCAAGCCUGAUCCAGCCAUACCGCGUGGGUGAAGAAGGCCUUCGGGUUGUAAAGCCCUUUUGUUGGGAAAGAAAAGCAGCAGGUUAAUACCCCGCUGUUCUGACGGUACCCAAAGAAUAAGCACCGGCUAACUUCGUG
rnacentral:rRNA from 1 species